UAGAGUUACCAGUCAUUCUGGUUUGCUUGGGACUGAGGGGUUUCCUGGAACACUGGACUUUCAGUGCUAAAACUAG
rnacentral:miRNA from 1 species